CCCAUAAUUCUUCCGUUGGCUCCUCGUAUUUCCCUCCACGAUAUCGAAUUAAAAUCCCAAAAUUAUUUAAGCACAUAAAAUAAUAAUUGAAAUUAUUUUCCCUCAAAAAAAUAUAUUUACUUUGGACUUAGGAUAAAAUUCCUCCAAGAUGUAGAAAUUAAUCCUAAUAUUUAGUUAAGCGUGUAUGAUUAAAUUCCCGCAAAUUAUUUCUCUUCGACGUAAUUAUUUCCGACUUAAGAUAAAAUUAUUCACUCUUUGAAUUAUUCUGAAGAUUAUUUAAAUAUUCGUCACGAUUAAUUAUCGGCCCAAAACUAAAUUAUUUUCCCACCUUAUAUCUCCAAUUUAAAGUUUAAAGCCCAAAAUAAAAUAAAUGGAGUCCAACUAAACAAAUCAUCUACUUUAAUUUAAUGAGACCCAAUUCUUUUAAAAACCAAAGGCCCAACAUCUAAUUAGAGAAAAGAGACUAGCCCAUUUCAAUAACUAAAUUAGUCCAUAUACUCCCCUUCCACCACACGUAUCACUACUCUCUCUCACCUAAUCACUAUUCACCUUCUCCCCCAAUUUCACAAAACUUAGGAUAAAUCUCCCUCUUCUAUUCGUCGACCAGCCACCCCACCGGCACCGCCUCCGCUUCCGUUUUCGUCUCCGACGGUGUUCUCUUCCUCCUCCUCAUCUCUCCCUUUCUCUUCUCUCCCUCUUCACCGUACGCCGCUGCCUUCUCUCUCUCUCCCCCCCGAUCUGCCGGCGCUGCCUCGCGGAUCUGCCGGAGCCGCCUCGCGGAUCUGCCGGAGCCGCAGAUCCGCCUCCGUCGCCUCCUUCCUCACCCUCUCCUUUCUCUCCCUCGGCUCCCUCUUCCUUUCCCGGAUCUGUCGCCGCCGCCGCCGCUACUGUGCAUGCACAGGCGGCGGCUUCGCCCUCCUCCGCGCCUCGUGCUACCGGAGCAGCUUCCCGGCGUCACUCCAGCCCCGGCCGCCGCCUCCUCGCCGAACUCCCGGAAGAUUUGUCAAGAUUUUAUUGAAAGUCAUAGAGGUGUGAGGCUGCCUUCGUCGUCUCCGGGAUGCCGAGCUCGCUGCCGGAAUCCGACAGAUUCAUAGAGGUAUAAUCGGUUCAAGUUCGUGGCCGUCCGUGUUGAAGUACCCGAUUUUCUUAAACGCAUGA